rnacentral:rRNA from 1 species
UGGGGAAUUGUUCGCAAUGGGCGCAAGCCUGACGACGCAACGCCGCGUGGAGGAUGAAGAUCUUCGGGUCGUAAACUCCUGUUGAGUGGGAAGAAUAGUUUCCGGGCGAAUAUCCCGGGAGCCUGACGGUACCACUAAAGGAAGCCCCGGCUAACUCCGUUCCAGCAGCCGCGGUAAUACGGGGGGGGCAAGCGUUGUUCGGAAUUACUGGGCGUAAAGGGCGCGUAGGCGGCCACCGCAAGUCGACUGUGAAAUCUCCGGGCUUAACUCGGAAAGGUCAGCCGAUACUGCGGGGCUAGAGUGCAGAAGGGGCAACUGGAAUUCUCGGUGUAGCGGUGAAAUGCGUAGAUAUCGAGAGGAACACCUGCGGCGAAGGCGGGUUGCUGGGCUGACACUGACGCUGAGGCGCGAAAGCUAGGGGAGCGAA